AACGAACGCUGGCGGCAGGCUUAACACAUGCAAGUCGAGCGCCCCGCAAGGGGAGCGGCAGACGGGUGAGUAACGCGUGGGAAUCUACCUUUUGCUACGGAAUAACGCAGGGAAACUUGUGCUAAUACCGUAUGUGUCCUUCGGGAGAAAGAUUUAUCGGCAAGAGAUGAGCCCGCGUUGGAUUAGCUAGUUGGUGGGGUAAAGCCUACCAAGGCGACGAUCCAUAGCUGGUCUGAGAGGAUGAUCAGCCACAUUGGGACUGAGACACGGCCCAAACUCCUACGGGGAGGCAGCAGUGGGGAAUAUUGGACAAUGGGCGCAAGCCUGAUCCAGCCAUGCCGCGUGAGUGAUGAAGGCCCUAGGUUGUAAAGCUCUUUCACCGGAGAAGAUAAUGACGGUAUCCG
rnacentral:rRNA from 1 species